rfam:Gorilla gorilla gorilla genomic chromosome, chr9, whole genome shotgun sequence
CGCCGGCCAAGACAGCACAGACAGAUUGACCUAUUGGGGUGUUUCGCGAGUGUGAGAGGGAAGCGCCGCGGCCUGUAUUUCUAGACCUGCCCUUCGCCUGGUUCGUGGCGCCUUGUGACCCCGGGCCCCUGCCGCCUGCAAGUCGGAAACUGCGCUGUGCUCCUGUGCUGCGGCCUGUGGCUGGACUGCCUGCGACGCCCUGUCUGCUGCUGCCCAACUGGCUGGCAAGAUGAAGCUCUCUCUGGUGGCCGCGAUGCUGCUG